rnacentral:rRNA from 1 species
GUAGAACGCUGAGAACUGGUGCUUGCACCGGUUCAAGGAGUUGCGAACGGGUGAGUAACGCGUAGGUAACCUACCUCAUAGCGGGGGAUAACUAUUGGAAACGAUAGCUAAUACCGCAUAAGAGAGACUAACGCAUGUUAGUAAUUUAAAAGGGGCAAUUGCUCCACUAUGAGAUGGACCUGCGUUGUAUUAGCUAGUUGGUGAGGUAAAGGCUCACCAAGGCGACGAUACAUAGCCGACCUGAGAGGGUGAUCGGCCACACUGGGACUGAGACACGGCCCAGACUCCUACGGGAGGCAGCAGUAGGGAAUCUUCGGCAAUGGGGGCAACCCUGACCGAGCAACGCCGCGUGAGUGAAGAAGGUUUUCGGAUCGUAAUAGCUCUGUUGUUAGAGAAGAAUGAUGGUGGGAGUGGAAAAUCCACCAAGUGACGGUAACUAACCAGAAAGGGACGGCUAACUACGUG